rnacentral:snRNA from 1 species
AUACUUACCUGGCAGGGGAGAUACCAUGAUCACGAAGGUGGUUUUCCCAGGGCGAGGCUUAUCCAUUGCACUCCGGAUGUGCUGACCCCUGCGAUUUCCCCAAAUGUGGGAAACUCGACUGCAUAAUUUGUGGUAGUGGGGGACUG